rnacentral:lncRNA from 1 species
GGCUGAGGAGGCUGGCAUAUUGCAACUUCUCCAUCACACCUGAGGAUGCAGGAAAACUCCCCUAGUCUCAAAGUAAAAGAAAUGUUUUAGAACAAAACCACGGAAAUAGACCUCUCCCCAGGGCUGGAAGUCAGGGCUUGUGAUAACGUAUUUACAUCUUUUGAAAUAACGGAAUCUAGUACAAAUACAUGUUUCCUUCUACCAUUUUACAGAAUUGUCUUAUACCUCUUUUUCUAGUAGGUAAAUAUACAUAAAAGGGAGUCCUUUGGAGAACUGUUGAGACGGAUUUGCUGAUUGUCUUGCAUUAGGGAGCUAGGCUGAGGGGAAAAGAGGGGACUAAAUUUGAAUCUGCACUUCACUCACCCAGGAGUGAUCCCACAGAGCUGUGUCUGCCUAGAAGGGGCGACUUUAUCUAUAUCACCAAAGCAUCAUAAAAGAUGAAUGAACUAAUAUCUGAUGCUCAAGGAAACCAUAAAUGAUAAAAGGAUAAUGGGCUCGGCCUGAAGCCAACCGUGUAACUCUUUGGUAGAGACUCACUGGUAAUCACAGGCCAGCAGUCAAAUAAUCUGUUGCUCUGAUUCUCUGGAGUGUUGAUGGUGCCUGGUAAACCUUAGAGAAGCUUCCUUCGCACUCAUUUUUCAAGAGCUCCUCCUGGAGCAUCCCCACAGGGAAUUUUCCUACCAGUGACCUGUCUCCUGUCCCACCAUAUCCCGGGUCACUCUCCCAUGAUGGACAGUCAAGCAUCAGUUCUUGGAACAUUUCCCUACCAGCAGAGGGAACCCUCACCUUCAGGUGCAAUAGGACGGCUAGAGGGAACUGGAGCUGGAUAUUUCCCUUCUCUCAGAAAUGAAUGGCAGUAUCAUCAGAACAACCACCCAUAUGUUUUCCCAAAGCAAGACAUUGUGAGGUGUUAAGAGAUAUAUGCAGGUA